UUGGCUUAAGUCCCGCAACGAGCGCAACCCUCGUUCUAUGUUGCCAGCACGUAAUGGUGGGAACUCAUGGGAUACUGCCGGGGUCAACUCGGAGGAAGGUGGGGAUGACGUCAAAUCAUCAUGCCCCUUAUGUCUUGGGCUUCACGCAUGCUACAAUGGCCGGUACAAAGGGCUGCAAUACCGUGAGGUGGAGCGAAUCCCAAAAAGCCGGUCCCAGUUCGGAUUGAGGUCUGCAACUCGACCUCAUGAAGUCGGAGUCGCUAGUAAUCGCAGAUCAGCAACGCUGCGGUGAAUACGUUCCCGGGUCUUGUACACACCGCCCGUCAAGUCAUGAAAGUCGGUAACACCUGAAGCCGGUGGCCUAACCCUUGUGGAGGGAGCCGUCGAAGGUGGGAUCGGUAAUUAGGACUAAGUCGUAACAAGGUAGCCGUACCGGAAGGUGCGGCUGGAUCACCUCCUUUCUGCGGCCGC
rnacentral:rRNA from 1 species